GCCGCCACCGCCGCCUCACAGCCCACUCAUCGUCGCUGACGGCUAACGCUUUACGCUACCGCCCGUAGUGGGCUUCAUUUGCGGUCCGCACUCAAAGGCUGACGGUGCUUUGUUUCACCGUUUUCCUGCUGGUGCUCCAAGAACAAAUAUGGCGGACGAAAUGGACGUCCAAAAGCCGAAAACGACAUCCGCCCGGCCAUCACUCGGUGCGGGUGCAGGUCACUGGCCACGGAGCUUUUGCUUUGCCACGCCUGGCGGCUGACCAACGGACUCACUCGAUUUUCUAUGAUAAUUUCAAAUGGUAUUGAAACCUCUUAAACAGAAAGAAAUAUCAAAACAGACGUGCCUACAGUGAUCAAAGAUCUAAAAUUAUGAUCAUUUGACUUUAAAAAUAUCAGAGAAAAUACAUACUCCGCAAGGUGAAUUUUGAGUAUAUGUAUACCGUCUAUAAUAUGGCUAUCUAUGUUGUAAGUAAGGAUCUUAUGCUUAAUUUAAGGUAAGUACUACCAUUACUUUAUUUUUAUACAAGAUUUGGAUUUUAUAAGAUACACUAUUUUCAGUAAAGAUAGAGGAGUGGGUUUUCAUUACACAAUUAUUUGACCAAUUGGAUUGGUAUAUAGUAUUGUGAAUCCAACAUCACGUCAUUAUUAUUAUUCAACCGUCAUUACACAAAGGUUGGAAAACUUACUCCACAGUUAAACCCUGAGUUAGGUUGUUAAUUCUAGGGUUUAUUAAAAGGUUAUUGCUUAUCCAUCGCCAUAAUUAUUAGCCAUGACCUGACCAGUGUUGAAGAUUAUACUACUUCAACGCUUAACUAUUUAUAUGUUGACUAAAUCUUCGCUUGUCAAGAGUUUCUAAGGUAUUCUUAUCAACGAACAACUUUGUUUUAAUGAAGCAACAUUAUAAAAUAAUUUUAUUUUUAGUUCUAUGUGCAUCUAAUGUGUUUUAGAUUUUCCAAACCUCAUAUAUUAGAAGUUGGAGUUAAUAUCUAAUGGAUGGUCCUUAAGAUGAAGUGUUUAAAAUUGGAAAUGUGUUAAGACAUUUAGACACAGCUGGAUAUUUUUGUAUCUAUUACUUUGUGUUAGCAAAGAGGUUGGUGGAGUGACUGAUGACCAACCCCUAAUCAACCCCAUCUAAGUUGCUGUAGACUCAGACAUGAAGUUAACUAGUGAAAAACAAAUUAUACUACAAACUAUGACUUUGGUUCUUUUAGUCUAGAGCCCUAUGGGCUUGAAGUUGUCAAUUUUUUUUAUGUAACAUUUUAUUUUCAACACAAUUUUAAAUCUGUUUGCCUAGUGUUUAUCUAACAUGAGUGCCUUCGGUUUCUUUUCAAACCCUAAAUGUAUUUAUUUUGAAAAUAAUAGAAAAUAAUUUGUAAACUAACAUAACUUGAAAGUAAUCAAUAAAUACACAACUAUUUGACUUUAUACUA